GAGUGUGCAUUCCUGAGAUCUUUUCCUCUUCCCAUCAUUUUCUGCCAUUUUGUGCAUUCCUGUGCACACGCUCAGGCUGCCACACAGCCCCAUCCUGCUCCAUGACAGCACUGAGCUGUGCCACCUACUGAACUCCUGCCUGCUCAUGCUCACCCACGCUCACACACAGCAGGAAGCCAGAGGAGCAGAGUACAAGCACCUCCUGACUGCCUGCAGGUGUCAUUCCCCACCGUUCUGGGACAGCCAACUGCCUUGUGACAUUUCACACUCCCUCUCCCUCCCCUGCCCAGCCACAGAGAGACACAGCUCUUCCUCUCCACCUCUGCUCUUUACACAUCUCUGGGUCUGUGCUGUCCCCAGGGGCAGCAGGUUGCUGGAAGGACAGGGCCUUUCCCUAUGGAUUUCCAGGGGUUCCUUGUGGCCAUCCUGCUCCCUGUGGGCUGGGCCCUUCAGCAGUCACCAGAUACAAUUGUCCGGGAGGGAGACCCUGUGACUCUGGAAUGUUCUGCAUCAGCAGAAAAUUUUGUAAACAUGUACUGGUACAAGUUACCCAUGGAGAAGAAUGCCAGCAUGCAGCUGGUUGUAUAUUCAGUGGAAGGCAGCAAAGCAGAUUUUGAGAAGGAAUUCCAAAAUCGCUUCCAGAGUAAUGGGACUAAGGACAACCAUUUAUCUGUGAAGAUAGAGCAUGCCCUACUCAGUGACACAGGCACAUAUUUCUGUGCUGAGCAAGAUCCACAGUGACUCAAAGGCUGGUGCAGCAUAGCACAAACCUUUCCAGGCAAACAGGGAUCUGCCUGCACUACACACUGAGCCCUGUGUUUCACUGAACUUUGUUUCCUUCACUUACCCUCCAGGUAUUCAGGAAAAACUGUAUGACUCUCUGCCUGUGCAAUUGUCUGUCUUCUGCAUGAUCUUUGACUGCUUUUCUGUUUUUUCCCCUCUCUGAAUCACCUUGGGUCUCUCAUUUCUUCUUGUCCUCCAUCUCUGACCUAAUUUGUCUGCCUUUCACAAACUGCCUCUUACUUUCUUCCAUUAACUUUCUGUCUGAGCCUCCGGCUUUUCCUCUCUGUACUCUCACACCUAGUCAUUUCUUAUUUCCUAUUUCCCUCCUUAUCCAUCUUUCCUUUGUUUCUUUCUGUUACAUCAAUUCAUGGCAUGGGAAGCAGGAUAUGGAACAGUUCACACAGCGCUUUCUCACUCCACCCAGCUGGAAAGAGAAGCCCCACUAGUUCUUGGUCCCACUGGUCUCCAGAGAAUGAGCACACUGCUGUGCACCAGUGACCUCAUGUUACACCACUAUCCUGUGACAUGAACACUCUGAUGAUUGAGAAUUGAUCCUACCCAGAGCAGCAGACUUCCCAUGUUGGCCAUGGAAUGUUCCUGGUGACAAGGACCAUAAGGAAGAAGUGCGAGUGCAGUUUUCAGCAGGGCUUGUUGGUGUUUCCAAGCAUCUUGUUUGGCCCAUCCCCU